AUGCCUGCGCGCUGCCUCUCUGCCGCGAUCUUCUCUCUGGCUCUGUGUGUCUGCCGGGCCGAUGAGAUCGACCAGUGGCCGGGAUCUCUCAGCGUCCGCCUGGGGGCGACGGCCGAGAUGAAGUGCCUUCAGAAGGGACAGCUCCGUGAGAACAUGCUCUGGUACCGCCAGCCGUCCACCGGCGGGCUGGCGUUGAUCGGGUCCGUCUAUCUCAGCAGCGAGGCCCGGCUGGAGGAGGGCUUCAAGAGCGGGUUCGUCAUCACCAGGGCAAAGGAGAAUAAGGAGUCUACCCUCCAGGUAGAGAGCGUGAAGGCCGCGGACGUGGCGACCUAUUUCUGCGCUACUACUGAUGGCGCACAGCGUUGUAGAGAUACUGGGCGCCAAUACAAAAACUCCAACAGGUCUCCCUGCAGAGCAACUCUGCCAAGGUUCCGGGAGCAGAUCGGAACUAGGUAUAGAACGGGAACUGGGUGGGCCAAGGGGCCUUUUACUUUGCUGCAGGUGUUCUCCGUCUCAUGGCUAGGAUUGGAAUAGAUUUAUCAUUGUCACGCCACCGAGAUGUAGUGAAAGGCUUUGUGUGCAUGCAGAUGAAAUCAUUACACAGUGCAUUCAGGUCGAACAAGUUCCGUCGGAUGUAGAACCGGGCAACACAGAAACAGGCCCUUCGGCCCACAAUGUUGUGCUGACCCAGCUAAAAAGGAAAUGGAAGCAACUACCUGUAUUUGUAAACAAUACAGAUCACUUUGUAGAGAUCUGUUUUCACUUUCACACGGAAGAGGCUUUUUCUGUUGAUGAAGGCCAAAUUAACUCCACUGCGAUACAGUUGAUACGUAUCCGCUGAGCGGCAUUUCUGCGCUGGUCGACGAAUUCUUCAUGGGAGACGUCCGCAGACAGAGGCCAGGCUGGUUCAAUGUGACUGGAAGGCGACGGUUACCCGGAAAGUUCAACGUUACAACAGCCGUGUGCAGACGAGCGUCUCUGAACGCACAACACGUCGAACACUGAGGCGAAUGGGCGACAGCAGCAGAAGACGAUGAGUCUACACUCAGUGGGCAGUCUGUUGGGUACAGCAGGUAUCUAAUGACGCUGAUAUCAUACCCAGUGACCUGCUUACCUGGCUAUCUGAAGCACUUUCCGUGCAUCCAGCCCUCCACCAAGUCUGCUAAUCUCUCUCUCUCUCUCUCUCGCUCGCUCGCUCUCUCCUUCUCCACAACAGAGAAAGACAGAUAGAUAUACAGAGAAUAAGCGAGACAGACAGAUAGAUAAUAUAGAUAGAUAGAUAGAUAGAUAGAUAAAUUAGAUAGUUAGAUAUAUAGAUAGGCAGAUAUCUAGAGAGAGAAAUAAACACAGAUAGACAGAUAAAUAGAUAGCUCGAGAGGGAGACAGUUAGAGAGAGAGAGAGAGAGACGAUCACUGGUAGGUGGACUGAUAUCUAGAUGAAUAGAUAGAUAGAUAUGUACAUAGAUAGAUAGAUGGAUAGAGGGAGAGUUAGAUAAACAAAUGGAUAAAUAGAUAGUGAGACAGACAGACAGAUAGGUAGAUAGAUAGAUAAAUAAAUUGAUAUAUAGACAAAUAUAGAUAGAUAGACAGAUAGAUAGAUAAAGAGAUAGAGAGAGCAAGAGAUAGAUUAUUAUUGGUACAUAGACAGACAGAUAGAUGAAUAGACAGAUAGAAAGAUAGAUAGAUAUGUAUAUAGAUACAUGGAAAGAUAAAUUUAUCAAAAUGAACAGACAGGUGGGCUGACCGGGAGUAAGAACUUGGGCGAAUUGUGCGGAGUUGACAAAGUGGGUGUUUCUUUGCACCAACAGCAGGGGGCGGCAUCGGAGCACCAAAAGCAACCGUCUCCGCCCGGCCCGGCCAAGGAACAGGGACAGAGAGGUAACCGCAGGGACGGGAAAGGGAUCCUGCCCUUCUGCCCCUCUCAGUUCCUCCGCGGAAUUGUUGAAAGCGCAAAUACGGUCAAACAAGAGUCAGGACAAAUAAAGGGCAGUCUGGAUAGGGUGGAAAGGAGGCAGGUCAAGCAAACAUAGCCCGCAAUGUUGACGCUAACUUGCUAACAACCUGAACGUCUGAUUUUCUUCUCCAGUCGCAGCUUUAUGGGGGAAGGUCAAAGAGCGAGCCAUUGCUGAAAAGAAUCUCAAAUGAAAUCAAGGCUAGAGUUUGCCAGAAGGAUUGUGGGAGAUUCUGAAUCAACUGGGAGAAGUUUUGAUCGUCCGAUGGAACUAAAAUUGAGCUUUUUUGGCCAUCGGCUGUGUUUGGCGUAGGUCAAAUGCCCACAUCAUCAAAAGCACACCAUCCUAACCGUGAAGCGUGGCGGUGGCUGCAUCAUGCUGUGGGGAUGCUUCACUGCAGCAGGCCCUGGAAGGCUUGUGAAGGUAGAGGGUAAAAUGAAUGCAGCAAAAUACAGGGAAAUCCUGGAGGAAAACCUGAUGCAGUCUGCAAUAGAACUGCGACUUGGGAGGAGAUUUGUUUUCUAGUAAAGCAGUGACCCCAAGCACGAAGCCAAAGCUGCAAGGGAAUGCAUUGAAAGCAACAAAGUUAAUGUCCCGGAGUGGCCAAGUCAAAGUCCAGACCUCGAUCUAAUUGAGAAUUUUUGGCUGGAUUUGUUAAUGGCUGUUCACUCAUGAUCCCCAUGCAAUCUGACAGAUCUUGAGCAGUUUUGACAAGAAGAAUAGGGAAAAAUUACAGUGUGCACAUCUGCAAAGCUGAUCGAGACCCAUGAACACAGACUCAAGUCUGGAAUUACUGACAAAGGGGCAUCUACUGCGUACUGACUCGAAGGGGGUAAAAACUUGGUCAAUCAAUUAUUUUUUGUUUCAUGUUUGUAAUUAAUUUAUAUCACUUUGUAGCGAUCAUUUCCUGUCGUACAGUGUCAAAAUAAUCCAAAUUACAUCCACAGCGACUCAAUGUUGUAAAACAAAAAAACAUGAAAACUUUCAAGGAGGGGUGCGUAAUUUUCGCAGGCACUGUGUCCGACCAUAAAUCGGUAAGGUCCAGGAGCAGAAUUAGGCCACUGGCCCAUCGAUUCUGCAGCGCUAUUUCAACAUCCAUUUUCCAUCUCACCCCCAAUCUUCAGCCUUCUCACCGUAUCCCUUGAUCCUCUGACCAAUCAAGUAUCUAUCAACAUCUGCCUUAGAUGUUCAUCUGCGUGUGACAAACAAGUCCACCAACUCACCACUCUCUAUCUAAAGAAAUUCCUCCCCAUCUCCUUUCUGAAAGGACGCCCCUCCAUUCUGUGUUUGUGCCCUCUGUCUUAUACUUAUACUUUAUACUUUAUCGUCCCCGAAGAAUUGAUACUAGAACGUACAAUCACCACAGCAAUAUAUGAUUCUGCGCUUCCCACCACCUGGAUUACAGAUCUUAAAUAUUAAAAAUUGUAAAAAUUAGUAAAUAUGAAAAUUUUCAAUUAUAAAUCAUAAAUAGAAAAUGGAAAAAUGGAAAGUAAGGUCGUGCAAAAAAACCGAGAGGCAGGUCCGGAUAUUUGGAGGGUACGGCCCAGAUCCGGGUCAGGAUCCGUUCAGCAGUCUUAUCACAGUUGGAAAGAAGCUGUUCCCAAAUCUGGCCGUACGAGUCUUCAAGCUCCUGAGCCUUCUCCCGGAGGGAAGAUGGAUGAAAAGUGUGUUGGCUAAG